CAAUAGCGUAUAUUAAAGUUGUUGCAGUUAAAAAGCUCGUAGUUGAAUUUUUGCUUGCCGCCGAUGUCGGAACUUCCGUACGUUCGGCGGCGUGCAUCCUUGGGUGGAACCUGUGUGGCAUUAGGUUGUCGUGCAGGGGAUGCUCAUCGUUUACUGUGAAAAAAUUAGAGUGUUCAAAGCAGGCUUAUGCCGUUGAAUAUAUUAGCAUGGAAUAAUGAGAUAGGACUUUUUUGCUAUUUUGUUGGUUUGCGCAAAGAGGUAAUGAUUAAUAGGGACAGUUGGGGGUAUUCGUAUUCCAUUGUCAGAGGUGAAAUUCUUGGAUUUUUGGAAGACGAACUACUGCGAAAGCAUUUACCAAGGAUGUUUUCAUUAA
rnacentral:rRNA from 1 species